rnacentral:rRNA from 1 species
CGAGUCUGCCUUGAAGAUCGGAGUGCUUGCACUCUGUGAAACAAGAUACAGGCUAGCGGCGGACGGGUGAGUAACACGUGGGUAACCUGCCCAAGAGAUCGGGAUAACACCUGGAAACAGAUGCUAAUACCGGAUAACAACAGAUGAUGCCUAUCAACUGUUUAAAAGAUGGUUCUGCUAUCACUCUUGGAUGGACCUGCGGUGCAUUAGCUAGUUGGCAGGGUAACGGCCUACCAAGGCGAUGAUGCAUAGCCGAGUUGAGAGACUGAUCGGCCACAUUGGGACUGAGACACGGCCCAAACUCCUACGGGAGGCAGCAGUAGGGAAUCUUCCACAAUGGACGCAAGUCUGAUGGAGCAACGCCGCGUGAGUGAAGAAGGGUUUCGGCUCGUAAAGCUCUGUUGUUGGUGAA